rnacentral:rRNA from 1 species
UACGAAGGGGGCUAGCGUUGUUCGGAAUUACUGGGCGUAAAGCGCACGUAGGCUGAUUGUUAAGUUAGGGGUGAAAUCCCGAGGCUCAACCUCGGAACUGCCCUUGAUACUGGCGAUCUAGAGUCCGGAAGAGGUUAGUGGAAUUCCCAGUGUAGAGGUGAAAUUCGUAGAUAUUGGGAAGAACACCAGUGGCGAAGGCGGCUAACUGGUCCGGAACUGACGCUGAGGUGCGAAAGCGUGGGGAGCAAACAGG